UCAAAUGAUUCUGACUUAUUUAUCAUUAAGUAGAUAUGUCCAUACCUUGAUAGGUCAUCUAUAAAUAUAAUAAAAUAAUAAUAUCUAUCUCUGAUAGUGGUGUUCAUCGAUCCACAUACAUCAGUAUGUAUCAGACCUAGAACUUCACUGGCUCGCUCAUCUUUUUCAGUAAAAGGUGACUUGAUCAUUUUUUCAAGAAGAUAAGACUCAU
rnacentral:lncRNA from 1 species